GACGAACGCUGGCGGCGUGCUUAACACAUGCCAGUCGAACGGAAAGGCCCUGCUUUUGUGGGGUGCUCGAGUGGCGAACGGGUCAGUAACACGUGAGUAACCUGCCCUUGACUUUGGGAUAACUUCAGGAAACUGGGGCUAAUACCGGAUAGGAGCUCCUGCUGCAUGGUGGGGGUUGGAAAGUUUCGGCGGUUGGGGAUGGACUCGCGGCUUGUCAGCUUGUUGGUGGGGUAGUGGCUUACCAAGGCUUUGACGGGUAGCCGGCCUGAGAGGGUGACCGGCCACAUUGGGACUGAGAUACGGCCCAGACUCCUACGGGAGGCAGCAGUGGGGAAUAUUGCACAAUGGGCGGAAGCCUGAUGCAGCAACGCCGCGUGCGGGAUGACGGCCUUCGGGUUGUAAACCGCUUUCGCCUGUGACGAAGCGUGAGUGACGGUAAUGGGUAAAGAAGCACCGGCUAACUACGUG
rnacentral:rRNA from 1 species